UUGGGAGGCAGAGGUAGACAGAUCUCAGUUCAAGGCCACACUGAUCCAGUCCUAAAGAGAAACAGCUCACAUAAAGAUGAUCACAUGCCUUUAAUCCCAGCCCCAGAGAGGUAUAUGAAAGACAAGGAACCCAGUGUCUCAGGCUGCAUUCUGAGAUAGUCUCUGGAAUCUCUCCAGCCAUGCCAAUGAGAGGCAGCAGUCUGAGGCUCAGUGAAGAGCUCAUGCCUGGAUCAGCCCUUUCUGCCUGAGCUAGAGGGUCUCUCAAUCAAACCCAGAGCUUGCUGAUGCGGCUAAUCUCGCUGGUUAGCUUGCUCCGAGGAUCCUCCAUCCUCACCUUCCAAGGCCGGAAUCACAAGUGGGACCCCACACCCACCCUGUGCUUGGGUGAGGAGAACGGUGGAGACCGCAGGAGAAACCUGCCCCAGACAAGAGAGUUGAUGGACCAGCCCAGACCCACUCUGUGGCCUGCGCUCUAGAACCUCCGCUGGAGUCCUCAGAACGCCCGCCCCGCCCGUUCACACGACCUGAGCAAGCCCUUCGAAGCAGCCAUUCCAGUCAGGCUCUGCCGCAGACAGCCAAACGCCAGGAUGCUCUUUGCCUGGCCACAGUGAGUGGCUGCCCUAAGGACCCCCCCCCACUGCUACCAAAUGCGCAUGCUCCUGCCCUGAAAGAUGACUAUCUACCUGUGUUCACUGGCGUGGAAAGCUGUGAUAGUUAAGUGGGAAAAAAAGCAAUCCACUAACCAGCAUUCGUAGUACGGUUCUAUUUUUGCUUCAAUAUAUAUUUAAACACACAGAGAGAUACCCGCGUGUGCAAAGCUGCAUAGAAAUGAGCCUGGAAAAAAAAUGCGGAGAAAUGUUAAAAGUAGCGUCGCUGGGCAGUGAGAUUCUGGAUCCCUUCCACUCUCUUUCUCCUUAUAAUUUUCUGUUUUGUCUAUUUUUUACCACGAGCAUGUACUGCUUUUAUAUU